rnacentral:rRNA from 1 species
CACGUAGGGCGCAAGCGUUUGUCCGGAAUUACUGGGCGUAAAGGGCUCGUAGGCGGCCAACUAAGUCAGACGUGAAAUCCCUCAGCUUAACUGGGGAACUGCGUCUGAUACUGGAUGGCUUGGAUUCGGGAGAGGAAUGCGGAAUUCCCGGUGUAGCGGUGAAAUGCGCAGAUAUCGGGAGGAACACCAAUUGCGAAGGCAGCUCGCUGGGACGUUACUGACGCUGAGACGCGAAAGCGUGGGGAGCAAACAGG